CGUAUAGGGAAAGGGGGAGAGACAGGGGGCUCUUUCUUCUCUUUCUUCUCUCUUUCACUCCCCUUCUCUCUCCGUCACAAGCGACGCGGUGAAAGUGAAAAUCCGUACAAGAGGAAUGAGAUCCACACCAUUUCUGCGCUUUGAGAUGCUCCCAGAUGCGGUAAAGUGGAUAUAAUCUAAACUUCUAAACUUUUUACCUGUUAAAAAGUUUUGUGGACACUCUGGAGGUCGUUUCUAUGGUAACCACUUUAAGGAAAAUCGUGUGUAAACACUGGGCUGACAGAUUCGCCCAAUACGACAAUGACCUUUUGGCAUUUUUUACAAGCUGGUUUAUUUCUCAUUUGUAACGUUUACAAACUAACCGCGUUCAGUCUGGGGUGUGAAGACGGAAGGAGUUUAUAACUUCCACACUCUGAUUGAUAAAUGUGGACCGGAAGUGAGUGUGUGAAACGCAACCCAUAGCGCGCGAGCAUGGGGACCUGGCGUGGCCUCGCCGUGUUCCUCUUGUCUUUCGCGGUGGCCCUGAACGCUGAGCCCGCGUGCUGGCAGGCUGUGCUCCGGUGCCACGAGGAGCGCGAGUGCGAGCUCGCUUACACGCAGUACCUGGCCGCGUGCGACGGGUACAUACGUGGCGCACUACGCCGCUGCCCGAGUCACUGCGUCGGUGCGCUCGUGCGGUUAAACCAAACGGCCCGCGGUCCGGACCUGGAGACGUGCGACUGCGGAGUCGAUUCGGAGUGCCGGCGCGCAAAACGAGCCAUUGAACCGUGCCUGCCGCGCACGCACGCUCGUGAAGCCGGUGGUAUCGGGUGCACGGAGGCACGGCUGCGUUGCGAGGAGGACGUUGUUUGCCGCGAGGCUCUGUCCGCGUACCUGGCGUCCUGCGGUCAGCUGUUCAACGGGAGGAAGUGCUCGGCGCGAUGCAGAGGCACCAUCGAGCAGCUGCGCCUGCUGCCAGACGGAGCCCUACUCGAGCGGUGUGUAUGCGACGGCGUGGAGCGGCCCUUCUGCGAGGUGGUCAAGGACAACAUGAGUCGCCUGUGCGCGCUCUCAGACCGUGGGCUCGCCCCCGAUCAGGAUGUCCCGGAUGACGUCUACGAGGACGAGGAUUACGAAUGGAAAGUGGAGCGCGACAUGGACACGGGAGCCGUGGUUUCGCCUUCACGUGCCUUUCGUUCCUUGAGCCAUCUGGCCCUGUUUCUGGGGUCACUCGCGGUGACCUUUCUCGGGGUUUGACCCGGGCAAAAGCUCUUUUGCGUAUGCACAGAUUACACUAACUCACUGUUUGCUGCAUGAUACAGAUAAUAAUACUGCGAUGAGAUUGCUCCAUAUCGCGAUAUGCAUUGCGAUAUAUCAGUGAACCCUUUAGAUCCAUGGUUAAUGAUGGGCCUGCAUUAUUCUUACUGGGAUUUGCAUGUACACAAAACACUCAUGAAGAACACAGGAUCUGAUAACGCUAUUAUGGAUUAAUUACGCAGCAUAUGUACCACCAAAGGCCAGUAAUAAUGCAAAAUAUCAAUUCAAAAUUGAUAUCUUGUGCCAUCAUGAAGACUUGACUCUCUUGUGGAUUUUGUUUUAUUUUAUUAAUAACUUUCUUGCAGAAACAUAAGAGAAAAUUAUAAUUCCGGAUCACAAAAUUCAUAAUUCGAAACUGACCUCGAGCCUUCAGUAGCUAAUGAGAGAAUGUGAAAGAGAAUAAAAAUACAAGUUCCUCUACUCUGUUUUCCUCUUCCUUUCUCUCCGUCCUCACUUUUUGUCUGGUUUGUUUAAUCCAAGUGCUUCCUGAAUGGCGUCUUUUUUUUAUUUAAGCAAGACUCACAACAAACAGAGAACUCGUGUGCCGUGUGUUUGCGUACCCCUCUUUGCCCUGUUUGCUCAUUGUUGGGAUGAUUAUACUUCAAAUAUUUGCAGGAGACGGCUGGAGAAAAGAGCAGCUUUCAGGAUCGAGUUGUUAAAUUAAGUGGAGAGGCUCUUCACAGGCUCAUAAAUAUCCCCCUCCACUCACUGUCUAUUCUCUCUCCUUCUCUCUCUCUCUCUGUCUCACUUUCUGUCUGUCUGUCUGGCCUCAGCUCAGUGAAUUAUCCCCCGGGGUGACCCCUUUCCUCUCUCCCUCUUUCCUUUCUCUUUUUAUUCCUCCCCUCCCCCCUAAACAUAGAGGAAAUACUUGAUCUCUCUCUCUCGCUCUCUCUCUCAGUUCUGAGUUGAGCCUUUGUUUCCGGUAUAAAGUGGAUUUCUGUUGCACAACUGUCAUGCACGGUCUCUUCCAGGACGACUCCACCACCAUCCACAGGGAAUGAUAUCUGACAGAGGAUAAAAAUGAUGUGAAUCAUAUUCUACAGCCUUCACACUCAAUAGAUCUAUAUGCAGCUGGACACCUAUAGGAGAUUUUGGAGAGUUGUGUUAGACCAUGUCCUCCAUCAUCUCUGUCAAAACACCAAGAAAAACGACACCCUUACAGCAAGGCACAUUGAAUCUGUUCUGGUGGCUCGUGGUGGUCCAAAGCCUUCCCAGCACACUUUAUGUUGUUUUUUAACCCACCCCUCCUUUAAUUUGUCACCCGUCUGUCUGAAGGUGCCUCCGUCAUGUUUGCAGCAGUCUAAGUGAUGAAGCGUGCAAUACACACAAGGCAAUUUUGCUGUGAAAACAACUCGGCAGAAACAUCUCCGUCUCUCUGCCCCUUGCCCUCCACCCCUCCGGCCUGCUUCUGGGAACAAAAUCAAAACAAACAAAAGUAGGAGAGCUAUUCUCACUCAGGACCUGGGCCUUGGUGUCUCAUUUAUCUAGAUGCCAGGACAGACCAAUAUUUCACCCUUCCCUAUACACACAAAGCUCAAGAGCCCCUGAGAAACGGUCGGUUCAGAUUUUAGUGUCUCGUGGGAACAAUGUUCUAUUCAUGACGCCAAUGUCAGCGUAAGAUGGAUACUGUGUGUGUAGUGUGAUGAGAUUUUCCCCAUUCCAAGGAUUAACCCUUUUUAGCCUUCAAAUUCAGUCUGGUUCUGGAACAAACAGAAAAAGGCUGGAAGAGGAUUUGGAAAAUUUUUGAUAGACACGAG